rnacentral:rRNA from 1 species
GAAACAGUGGAAACAGGGAACUUUAUUGAACUAUUAAAGCUCCUUGCAGAAUUCAAUCCUGAGAUUGCUGAAGUUAUUUUGGAGAAUGCUCCAUACAGUUCAAAGUACACAUCACAUGAAAUCCAACAAGAGAUAUUGGGUAUUUAUGCAUUUAAAGUUAGGAAACAUAUCCGUGAAGAGAUUGGGAAUUCUAAGUUUUCUAUUCUAGUGGACGAGACAUGUGAUGUAGCAAAAAGAGAGCAGAUGGCAUUGGUUCUCAGAUUCGUUGAUGAAGAUCGUAUAUUGCAAGAGCGGUUCUUUGACUUG